ensembl:lncRNA
GAAAACUGUGGUGUUACUGCUGGGAGGAUUUUUCCUGAUCCUGAGGGAAUCCAUUCUGGAAGCUUGAUCCAAAUGACAGCUGCCUCCAAUUACCACUCUACACAUUGCUGUGGGUAUUUGGUUACAAUCAAGACUGGAGGCUUGAUGACAGCUAGAAGUACUAGCAAGGAAACCUCAGAUGGUUCAGGCUACAGCAGCAUGGGUGCAGGACAACCUGGAUGUAAGUCAGCAGAACAUCUACAGGGCUAAUUAGGACCAUGACCUUGAAAAGGCAUUUUCCAGUACUGUUCACUUAGGUUGAAGCUAGAGACAGAGGAAGGUAUGCACUUCCCAUUAUGAGUGCUACUCCUAAGUUUUCCAACAGGUGCCAAGUAUGGUGGCUUUGAAAUGUAUUUUGGAGAGCUAACAAAGUGGCUAAAGCAGAUGAUUCAUAACAGGCUGUACUAAGACCAAAAAAACCCCACCAACUGGAGUGGUCAUUAAUUUGUGAGGUGAGCAGGCAGCACUCACCAAGCAAGUGGUGCACUGCCUGUUUCCCAGCCUGCCUUCAAACAUCUGCGCGCCUCAGAAGCAAGUGUAAUGUUAUUCUCCCAAGGUGACCCCCUGCUCUGCACUGCAGAAGAAUGAUGGUGAUGUUACAGGCUGGAAUGGAGUAACAGAAGGUUUGCUGCAUUGGAGUGACUGUGAGCUCUCUGGAGGCUGGGAUGUCUCCUUACGCUCCCUCACUGAAAGUCAGAGCCUCUGUUACAGGGAGCCAUGAGCACAGAGCACGAGCCAUGCAUACUUGCUUCACCCACAGUAAAGCAGUACCUGCAGAAGGCCAGCAGAGGAACAACCCAAGAUACAGAUCUGAUUACACAGCAGCUAAUUUCAGAAUCACCUGAGCACCCAGCAUCUUUCUUCUCCUCUACACCUGCUGUCAGUAAGGCCACUCUCUAUUAAGGUUUCAAGAUACACAAUUUAAAUACCCAUAUUAGAUGAGUCCAUUAAAAAUGAAAAAGUGACUUAAAUGAACAGAGAUGUUGAUAUUGGACUGUCUUGGUUUUGGGCCUUCUGGCUGUGUGAGCGCUUCUGGAGGAACAAAAAACUGUAUAUGAACAGGUAAAGACUUCAAAGGAAGAAGUUACAGGACGUACAUCCAUCUCUAUUAGAGAAACGAAUGCCUCUCUGGAAUGGUGGCAUGUGAGACUUAACUAUUGAGGGGAUAAAAAGGGAUGGAAGGAAGGAUCGUGAUUCCCCAUGAGUUAACUUGAUGUCCACCAUGCCAUGAAGGGACAUGGCACUUAGCUGCUCCUGAAGACAUUGGACUCUCAGCAGUGCUCUUUGAAGUAUGUCUGU